GUAUAGCUCGACUCCGAUAUAGCCUGCAGCCAAAACAUGUGUCAAGACGUUAUUCACUAAACAAAGCACGCUUGAAUUUUAUCAUAGUAACGUCAUUUAGCAAACUGCCAACAAUACAGUUGGCAUUAAAUGCUCCCAAAAUAUAUUUAAGGUUUGAAAAUUUACUCAAAACGUCCAAAGUAAAACAAGAUUAGACCUAUUGAAAUUCUUAUUUUACAAAAUGGUAACACCACAAGGCAUUUUUCAAAAUUGUACUAGUUAAACUAACACAUUUCUCUUUGAAAAAUAAAUAAGAUGAAAUGCAUUUCUAAAACAAAAGUUGAACACUCUUAGAUAAGAAGCAAACACUUACCCCCACAGGGUAAGUCCCCAGGU
rnacentral:misc_RNA from 1 species